rnacentral:rRNA from 1 species
GAUGAACGCUGGCGGCGUGCCUAAUACAUGCAAGUCGAGCGAACGGACGAGAAGCUUGCUUCUCUGAUGUUAGCGGCGGACGGGUGAGUAACACGUGGAUAACCUACCUAUAAGACUGGGAUAACUUCGGGAAACCGUAGCUAAUACCGGAUAAUAUUUUGAACCGCAUGGUUCAAAAGUGAAAGACGGUCUUGCUGUCACUUAUAGAUGGAUCCGCGCUGCAUUAGCUAGUUGGUAAGGUAACGGCUUACCAAGGCAACGAGGCAUAGCCGACCUGAGAGGGUGAUCGGCCACACUGGAACUGAGACACGGUCCAGACUCCUACGGGAGGCAGCAGUAGGGAAUCUUCCGCAAUGGGCGAAAGCCUGACGGAGCAACGCCGCGUGAGUGAUGAAGGUCUUCGGAUCGUAAAACUCUGUUAUUAGGGAAGAACAUAUGUGUAAGUAACUGUGCACAUCUUGACGGUACCUAAUCAGAAAGCCACGGCUAACUACGUG